CCGCGCCCGCUGCGCGG
rnacentral:rRNA from 1 species